UACGGAGGGAGCUAGCGUUGUUCGGAUAUACUGGGCGUAAAGCGCACGUAGGCGGCGCCGUAAGUCAGGGGUGAAAUCCCGGAGCUCAACUCCGGAACUGCCCUUGAAACUGCAGUGCUAGAAUCUUGGAGAGGCGAGUGGAAUUCCGAGUGUAGAGGUGAAAUUCGUAGAUAUUCGGAAGAACACCAGUGGCGAAGGCGACUCACUGGCCCGAUACUGACGCUGAGGCGCGAAAGCGUGGGGAGCAAACAGG
rnacentral:rRNA from 1 species